rnacentral:rRNA from 1 species
UACGGAGGGUGCGAGCGUUGUUCGGAAUUAUUGGGCGUAAAGCGCACGUAGGCGGCUCUGUAAGUCUCGCUGUGAAAGCCCGGGGCUCAACCCCGGGAGGCCAGGGGAUACUGCGGAGCUGGAGACAGGCAGAGGCUGGUGGAAUUCCGGGUGUAGCGGUGGAAUGCGUAGAGAUCCGGAGGAACAUCUGAGGCGAAGGCGGCCAGCUGGGCCUGAUCUGACGCUGAGGUGCGAAAGCGUGGGGAGCGAACAGG